CUCCCCCACUCCACCAACAGUUAUUUGGUGAGCUCCUCCGUUCUGGGUGCCAGGCUCUGUUCCAGGCACUGGGAUGUAGUGAGGUGUAAGACAGACUGAGUCUCAGUCUUCUCUCAAGUAGCUUUUAGUCUGUUGAGGGCAAGCAAUAUGAGACUAUCAGACAAGGCAAAGAAAUAGAACCAUUUCUAGCUGCUAGCACAUGUUUCACAGAUGAUACAUGGGGCAAAGUGGUGCCAGGCAGCUCAGCAGGGCCAUGCACUGAGGGUGCUGGAGCCGAUGCUUGCAGCCAGCCAUCCAUCUCCAAAGCUGCCCCUUGUCCCUUUUGUUAGUAACACUGGCUGCUUCUUAGGACCUUGCUCUGUGCACUCCCUUCAGCUGGGCAAAUCCUCCUCCCUCCACUGUGAAUGCUCCUCCUCCCUCCACUGUGAAUGCUCCUCCUCCCUCCACUGUGAAUCCUCCUCUUCCCUCCACUGUGAAUCCUCCUCUUCCCUCCACUGUGGAUCCUCCUCCUCACUCCAGUGUGAAUCCCCCUCCCUCCACUGUGAAUCCUCCUCCUCCCUCCACUGUGAAUCCUCUUCCUCCCUCCACUGUGAAUCCUCCUCCUCCCUCCACUGUGAAUCCACCUCCUCCCUCCAGUGUGAAUCCUCCUCCCUCCAUUGUGAAUCCUCCUCCUCCCUCCAUUGUGAAUCCUCCUCCUCCCUCCACUGUGAAUCCUCUUCCUCCCUCCACUGUGAAUCCUCCUCCCUCCACUGAGAAUCCUCCUCCCUCCACUGAGAAUCCUCCUCCCUCCAUUAGGUGCAACUGACAGCUAGUGACCUUGUGCCAUGCACCCUGUCCUGUCCCUGCACUCUGUAGACUUGUCUGAUGACCCUCCAUGACCCCGUGAGGCAGGGUCUCAGGUGAACAGAGAGAGAAAGAUGAAAGAGGCUUUUCCAAGGUCUCCGGUGAGGCAGAGUGGAGUGGGGAAGGUGGGCUCCUGUGCCGCCUGCCACCUGCCACCUGCCACCUGUGUGCAUUUUCAUCUCAACUGGUGGAAUCUGUGGGUGGAUUUGGAGCCUGGAGCCAUUUGACCCUCAGCAGUGGCUUGUGGCCCCGUCGAUGGCUGCUCAUCUGCUUCCAUCCAGCAAGGACCUCCUGUGCAGGGGCAGCCAGUGCUAGGAGACCUUUAGAAGUUCAGAAGGCUGGCUUCUGUCGGGGUCUGGCAGUGUCCCAGCCACAGCCAGGCUCAUAUACAUCAGCUCCGGUCCUUAUUACAUGACACCGGCCAAGGCAGAGCACAGAGGGACCGGCCCAGGAAAGGCCAGGAGGACCGAAGGGCUUGAUCCGCCUUUCCAAGCCUGUCGUUGAAGAAUUCGAAUCAAUGGCUGGGAUUACCGGCUGAUGGAAACGGGGGCUCUCCAUGCUUGGAGAAUGACAAUUGCGGGGCUGCUGGGGGUCCAUCCUCCUGAAGAGUCGAGCUUGGGAAACAGAGGGGAGGAAGCCGAGCACCCUCACGUCAUUGGGCUCUGUUACGCUCCCGGACAUCUUGAAAUAGAGUGCGUUAUUGCAGAAUGACAUUCUUACUUUAAUUACCUUUUGAUGCUUCUGAGCUUUGAAUUAACCUCACAGUGGAGAGAAUCACUCCCCCGGCUGGAGCAGGCUGUGUUGUCCGUGUGGACCUGUGUCCACUGUGGAGGGCAGGUGGGAGAGAGAGCGGUCACUGAGGGCAGGAUUCUGGAAGCUUCUGGGCAGCGUCGCAGGUGCCUGUGACCACCACUGGCUUGGUUUCCAUCACAGCUGCUGCCAGGACACACUCAGCAGUAGGCCUGGGAGCUCAUAUGUGCGGGGACCUGGGCUGGUUCUGGUGGGCGCACCCCUUCCCUGGCACGCAAGCUCCAAUGCCUUAACUUUCACCUGAGGACCUAUUCAGGCCUUUAGUUCUUGAAUGUGAGUCUGACUCCAAGUAGGGAAAAGCAUCGUCUGGAUUUUCUGACCACCCUUCCCAAGGAUGAGACCUCAUGGUGCUCGGCUGCUGCAGACCUGGGGGAGGCAGGGCCCCUCUCAUGGAAAGGUGCCAUUAGAGAAAGUGGUCCCAGGGCAGAAGCGGGGCUGCAGUGACUCACUGGUCCAGUGUAGAAGGGCCUGGAGUGACUCACUGGUUUAGUGUAGAAGGGCCUGGAGUGACUCACUGGUCCAGUGUAGAAGGGCCUGGAGUGACUCACUGGUCCAGUGUAGAAGGGGUGGAGUGACUCACUGGUUCAGUGUAGAAGGGCUGCAGUGACUCACUGGUCCAGUAUAGAAGGCCCUGGAGUGACUCACUGGUCCAGUGUAGAAGGGCCUGGAGUGACUCACUGGUUCAGUGUAGAAGGGGUGCAGUGACUCACUGGUCCAGUGUAGAAGAGGUGGAGUGACUCACUGGUCCAGUGUAGAAGGGGUGCAGUGACUCACUGGUCCAGUGUAGAAGGGGUAGAGUGACUCACUGGUCCAGUGUAGAAGGGGUGGAGUGAAUCACUGGUCCAGUGUAGAAGGGCUGGAGUGACUCACUGGUCCAGUGUAGAAGGGGUGCAGUGACUCACUGGUUCAGUGUAGAAGGGGUGCAAUGACUCACUGGUCCAGUGUAGAAGGGCCUGGAGUGACUCACUGGUCCAGUGUAGAAGGGGUGGAGUGAAUCACUGGUCCAGUGUAGAAGGGGUGCAGUGAUUCACUGGUUCAGUGUAGAAGGGGUGCAGUGACUCACUGGUCCAGUGUAGAAGGGCCUGGAGUGACUCACUGGUCCAGUGUAGAAGGGGUGGAGUGACUCACUGGUCCAGUGUAGAAGGGGUGGAGUGACUCACUGGUCCAGUG